GGGCCCGUAGUUCAGCUGGUUAGAAUGCUUGCAUGGCAUGCAAGAGGUCGGGAGUUCGAAUCUCCCCGGGUCCACCA
rnacentral:tRNA from 1 species